GGUGUUAAAUUUUAACAGUGUCAUAUCGGAUGUUCGGAAGCUAAUUAGGAGAACUAAACGUGAGCUAAUUAUAAAACUAAUUGCAGAACCAUGUGCUAAUUCGCGAGAUGAAUCUGUUAAGCCUAAUUAAUCCAUCAUUAGCAAAUGGUUACUGUAGCACAACAUUGUCAAAUCAUGGACUAAUUAGGCUUAAUAGAUUCGUCUCGCGAAUUACACUCCAUCUGUGCAAUUAGUUUUUUGUAAUCAACCUAUAUGUAAUACUCCUAAUUAGCAUCCAAACAUCUGAUGUGACGGGUGGUAAAUUUUAACACCUUAUUG
rnacentral:lncRNA from 1 species